GAUGAACGCUAGCUACAGGCUUAACACAUGCAAGUCGAGGGGAAACGGCAUUGAGUGCUUGCACUCUUUGGACGUCGACCGGCGCACGGGUGAGUAACGCGUAUCCAACCUUCCCAUUACUGUGGGAUAACCUGCCGAAAGGUAGACUAAUACCGCAUAGUCUUCGAUGACGGCAUCAGAUUUGAAGUAAAGAUUUAUCGGUAAUGGAUGGGGAUGCGUCUGAUUAGCUUGUUGGCGGGGUAACGGCCCACCAAGGCGACGAUCAGUAGGGGUUCUGAGAGGAAGGUCCCCCACAUUGGAACUGAGACACGGUCCAAACUCCUACGGGAGGCAGCAGUGAGGAAUAUUGGUCAAUGGACGGAAGUCUGAACCAGCCAAGUAGCGUGCAGGAUGACGGCCCUAUGGGUUGUAAACUGCUUUUGUAUGGGGAUAAAGUUAGGGACGUGUCCCUAUUUGCAGGUACCAUACGAAUAAGGACCGGCUAAUUCCGUGCCAGCAGCCGCGGUAAUACGGAAGGUCCAGGCGUUAUCCGGAUUUAUUGGGUUUAAAGGGAGCGUAGGCUGGAGAUUAAGUGUGUUGUGAAAUGUAGACGCUCAACGUCUGACUUGCAGCGCAUACUGGUUUCCUUGAGUACGCACAACGUUGGCGGAAUUCGUCGUGUAGCGGUGAAAUGCUUAGAUAUGACGAAGAACUCCGAUUGCGAAGGCAGCUGACGGGAGCGCAACUGACGCUUAAGCUCGAAGGUGCGGUGUCAAACAGG
rnacentral:rRNA from 1 species